rnacentral:rRNA from 1 species
GUGAGGAAUCUUGCGCAAUGGGGGAAACCCUGACGCAGCAACGCCGCGUGAGUGAGGAAGGUCUUCGGGUCGUAAAGCUCUGUCAGGCGGGAAGAAAUGCAUGGAGGUAAACAGCCGCCAUGCUUGACGGUACCGCCAGAGGAAGCACCGGCUAACUCCGUGCCAGCAGCCGCGGUAAUACGGGGGGUGCAAGCGUUGUUCGGAAUCAUUGGGCGUAAAGAGCGUGUAGGCGGCUUGAUAAGUCAGAUGUGAAAGCCCUGGGCUCAACCCGGGAAGUGCAUUUGAAACUGUCAGGCUCGAGUAGGGGAGAGGGAAGUGGAAUUCCUGGUGUAGAGGUGAAAUUCGUAGAUAUCAGGAGGAACACCGGUGGCGAAGGCGACUUCCUGGCCCUAUACUGACGCUGAGACGCGAGAGCGUGGGUAGCAAACAGGAUUAGAUACCCUGGUAGUCC